rnacentral:lncRNA from 1 species
GCGGGCGUCGUCGUCUCGGCCCUGCAGCCGCGCCAGGAGUCCGCGCUGCACAAAGCUCUGGCGGGCGGCGCGGCCCCGGCCGCCGCUCAGCUCCACCGCGCGUUCCAGAUCCUCCAGGGCGCCUGCGGGACCGACGAGACGGGCGGGGCGGGGGUCAGCGGAGGCCAGGGCGGCCUUGCCCGAGCCCCAGCCCACCUGCGGCCGCGCGGAUCACCGUGGUUCUUGCGGCUCCCGGGCGUGGCCAUUUACAACCCGCCUCGCACCUGCUAGAGAAAAGACCCCGGCCAUGGAUGGGAGACCUAGGACAAAGAUGGAAAAGAGGUCAGACACAAAUUUUGCAAUGCUUGGCACCAGACAGCUGCUCAAUGAGGAACACAACUGCAUCAUGGAGAAUCCCCAGCAUCCUCAAACCGUUAACACCUAGAAGAAUCAGAAGCACCAGGGAAGUGAGGAGCGCAGUCAACAGGAAACAGCAUGGUCCUACAGAAAUGCCUAUGCUAUAGUCACUCUGCCAGAGGCUGCUCCAGGGUGAAUUAUAGUACAUAUUAGCUCGAAAUUAGCAUCAGAUAGCCAUUAAAAUGAUGCUGAUACAGAUCUAUCAAUAUGGAAAAUGUUUGUGAUAGACGGCUAAGUGAAAAAAGCAUGCCACCAA